rfam:Ixodes scapularis strain Wikel colony gcontig_1108378627200, whole genome shotgun sequence.
GCACCUGUUGUGUAGUGGUCAUCACAUCCGCUUUACACGCGGAAGGUCCCAGGUUCGAUCCCUGGCAGGUGCA